AUGGUUCUUUAUUAUUAGGAAGAGAUAUACUCCUACAUAACAACAAUAGUAGUACAUCACAUGGCCUAGAUCUCCAAAUUAUCCACACACUCAUAUGAUACUACAAAGCUCCUACUAGGAAGGAGGUGAGAAAACGCCUCAUCGACCAUCGUACCUUGCGGAUUACAGCCUACAGGGAACAAAUCAGGAAAGUGUCUCCCGGUUUGGUCACUCUGUUGGACGCGGACGGAGACAGGGACAUGAUUUGGAUCCAGCACCGCCUUGCUUUCCCUAGACAAAACGAGGUUAAUUAACUGGAGCGACACCAACCAAGCACGCACCAGAGCGGCAAUUAGUCACGCUGGACCCCGUUUCAUCUAAACAAGAUUAGCGAUCACGUUCGGAAGAUCGCCCCGCUAGCUGGCCGAGAUCCGAGGCAGAUACCUGAAAUCGGCUUGUCGAUGGAGUACAGACAGAAAAACCAGGAGAUGGAUUGCUUUUGGGCUAAAGUCGGGGGUCAAUGGGAUACGCCGGAACCCGAAUGUCGCCAUCCUCUCGACCCGCGUGCCAUGAAUCUUCUUUUCGUCAUCCUCCUCCUCCUCCUCCUCUCUCUCUCUCUUUUUCUUCGAUUUCCUGCGGUGCGGUUUCAUUCGUUCGUUUCCUCUUGGGAGGGUGGAAAGUUGAUGUGGUUCAGGUGGGAGCGCCCAAUGCGGUGCCCGCUGAGACAGCGACGAGUAGGUGUGGUGGAUGGAGGCACCGUUUCGG
rnacentral:lncRNA from 1 species